UAUAUUGCAAUUUGUCGUAAAAUACACCGGAAAUUGUUGCUUGAUCAAAAUUGUAUUGUAUUGGAGUUCUACCUCAUCAUUUCAAUAUGUCUAUUUGUCAACUAAUUCAUAUAGCUUUUGAGCGUCUCGUGAAUGGCAUCUGGUAGCUUCUGUCCUCUAAUGGAAGUCUGUUUCUUGGAACACAAUAGCACUUAUAUAAUUAAGUCAUUUCUUUUUAGCUGAGUGAAACGUGCUCUAUAAUCAGCUGAUAGUACAUUUAUUCACAGUUUAAUUCUUGCUUAACCAUUUUUGUCGAAUAUAAACGGACAUAUUUUGGCAAUGAAAAUAUUGGUCAUGCUACUUCAAUUAUGAACCCAAGUAAAAAAUCAAUAUUGCGUGCAAAUAAAUGGAUUGCCUUUAUAUGAGGUUUUUCGUCUAUUGGAUUCUGUACUAAUUUGUCCAUUAUUUAGCCCCUGUUUGAUGGUCAUUAUUUCGAAGAAGUAAUGUUUUAAAAAUUUGGAGAAUGUGGUUAAAAAUUAAGAAGAAAGUUUUGGGUUUACGUGCAAAAUGUUUUAUUGUAUGAAUGUGUGGUUGAAAAUAAGUAUGAGAAUUAAAGAGUUUUAUUUUAAAGGGCUUAUUGACACGAAACAAUAGAGUAAAUGAUGAUGGAGAAUAAAAGGAGACCCGUCUUCCUUGAUCAAAGCAGCCUCAUGGGUUUGACGCAAAAACGACCGAAGAUUGAGGUGCCUCUCUCUGCCAAGGUAUCUUCAAUAACAGAGAGACAGCUUUCGAUGGGCUAUUUCUGGAAAUUUUGAAGUGGGUUUUACUGUAAAGUUGUGAUUUUUAUGGCCAUUUCUUUGGAUUAUUGAAGUGGGGUUUGGAGAUUAUUAGGAGAAGUUUGGAUUUCUGUUGCUGAUUCUGCAUUGAGGGUGAGUUCUUGAACCAUAUUUUCAUUAGCAAAGACUUUAUUUUGAUCUUUUGAACUGUAAAAUGAAAUUUUGGUUUACUUAAUAUGAAGGGCUCUUGAAUUUUGCUUUGUUGAACAGAGUAGACUUGGUUACUUGUGUAGUAGUGUCUUGAUAGGCUACACAGUUACAUAGCUUUUCAUCGAAAAAUGAAUCCGACCUGCACUGGAAAGCGUGACUAAUUUUAAAGUUUGUGAUUGAACGUUGUUUAAUUUUUGACACCUUCCUUUUCAAUAAAUCUGUCUUUGUGUCAGACAUCCAAGUUCUUAUGUGGGGUUUUUGUUUUAAUUUGAAGAGCUAUACGUUUAAGCCCUUGUUUGAUCCUUGUUUUGGAGGAAAUAAUGUAUUUUGAAUAAUGGAUUGAUAGAGAAAGUGGGGUAAAAAAUUAAAGAAAAAUAUUGAAUUUUCGUAUAAUAUUAUUUUAAUCAAGAAUGUCUUGUUGAAAAUGAAUUUUGUUAAGAAUGUGAAUCAAACAAGGGCUAAGUCAUGGGUGAUUUUAAUGAUAAAAUUAUGAAAUUGUUAACUUUGAAAUAUUUUUAAGAUUGAGUGUUUAAAAGAAUAAUAAAAAAUUUCAAAUGGUUAAUUCAUGCUUCAUGAAUGAUAAAAUAAUAAUAUCAUUUGCAAUCGUUCAUUACUGUUGUCUUUCUAUGCAUGAUGCAAUAAAAAACUAUUACAUUAAUUUAUUAAAUUACUAAUUGAUACAUAUAUGACAUAGAACAUUUGCGAAAGCGAAUGUCUGUAAAUAAUAUUCUUCAUAAUAAGAUAUGCAAUUUGGGUCCACAUAAACUCAAAUAUUUUAAAUUCAAUUGUCAUUUGUCUCAGUUACAUCAGGGGAGACAAUAUUAUUACAGAAAGGACAGAGACAGAGAUAAUCCUUAAUGUCUUGUGAUUUUAUCUAAUCAUUGUUUAAUUAGGUCUAAUUACAUAAAAAACAAAAGAAAAAGAAAAAUCAUUUUGGUGGUUGAAGGGGUGGAGGGACAGGGGGGCGUCCCAUCCGGCAACAUUUUUAAAUUUUUUCUGAAUUUAUAUAAUGCAUAUGUAGUUUGCUCUGCUCCUGCAUAUUUUCGCCCUAAGUGAAAAUUCUGGAUCUGCCACCGGAUGGUUGGAUAUUUAGCCCCUGUUUGAUCCCCAUUAAAUUAAAUUAAAUUACAUUAUAUUUUAUUUUUCUCUCUCUUAUUUUCAACCACAUAAUCUUCCAUAAAAUAAUAUUACACAUAAAUCGAAAAUUUUUCCUUCUUUUCCUACCACUCAUUUUUCUAAAAAAUACUAUUCCCCACAUUUUCAUUUUCAAUUGCAAGUAAUGGGAAUCAAACAGGGGGCUUAAUGUCCAUUUAUGUAUGUUUCCAAUCAAAAAUUUGGUAUAGAUUCCAUUAUUGAUGGUUCGGAAUUGAGUUUCUUGAAUAAUGUUAUCUACGACCAAUUACUUUUAAAAUAAUUUUGAAUGACUGAAUGAUAAAUUAUCUGACGUCACAAACAUAAGGAUUAUUUUGACCAAAACAGCGCGAAUUUUAAUACAUGAAACAUGUUGAAAAUGAUAUCUUAUUUAAGUUUGUAUUUUUAUAUGUUUAUGAAGUUAUUUUAUAUUGCAAUUUGUCGUAAAAUACACCGGAAAUUGUUGCUUGAUCAAAAUUGUAUUGUAUUGGAGUUCUACCUCAUCAUUUCAAUAUGUCUAUUUGUCAACUAAUUCAUAUAGCUUUUGAGCGUCUCGUGAAUGGCAUCUGGUAGCUUCUGUCCUCUAAUGGAAGUCUGUUUCUUGGAACACAAUAGCACUUAUAUAAUUAAGUCAUUUCUUUUUAGCUGAGUGAAACGUGCUCUAUAAUCAGCUGAUAGUACAUUUAUUCACAGUUUAAUUCUUGCUUAACCAUUUUUGUCGAAUAUAAACGGACAUAUUUUGGCAAUGAAAAUAUUGGUCAUGCUACUUCAAUUAUGAACCCAAGUAAAAAAUCAAUAUUGCG
rnacentral:lncRNA from 1 species